UGAGUUGAUUUUGAACACAAAAUCAUGUAAGGAUUUAUGAAAGACGUGAAAAAUGUGUUAAAAGUAAAUGUGUUAAUUACUAACACCAAAUGCGCGGUGCAAUAACAUAAUUAUACAUUCAGAACCUAUUUAAAACAGUGCAAAAGAUAAUCACAUUAAGAGCAACUUACUUGAAAUGCUUUACGAACCAUUCCAACAUGUCUUGGAAUCUUGGUUAGGCUCGCCAGCUAAUUUUACAUCCAUUAGCAUGUACCUCUCUCUUUACCAAUUCCGAAAAGUAAAUUUGAUGAGCGUUGUGAAGUCACAAAGUGGACACCAUGUGAAUACUCUCAUUUUCAUACUCGCGGAUACAAAGUGAAAUGGUUCAAGUUGCACCUGUUUUCAGUACAAAAAAGAAUUAGAAAGAAGAAAAGAUUUCAACGACAUAAGAAAAUAACCUAUUGAGAAUAGCAAAGGAGUGUCGCCUAUCUCCAUAGUACCAGAAAGCAAAAAGAUUAUCAUGUUAUAGAUUGAUAGGAGUUCUGAAGCUGAAGGCAUUUUAAAUUGAAAUCGUUUAUCUACUCUAUCCGAGGAAAGCUCAUAUCUUCUAAUACUUUUGCAAUUAAGCUCGCCUUCUUUAAUUCAUUUUCUGCAAAGUACUCAUUGACUAGAGUUUCUCACCGUAUCAAUGCACUAAUUGAAACAACUACCACAUAUAUUGCAAACAGUAAACUGUUGUCCACUCUAAAGCUUUAAAGGACAUAAAUCAAGCAAGUUUUCGCACUACCUAGUCUGAGCAAAAAUAGGGCAAAUAGAAAACUACAUAGAGUUCACUCUUAACAACUAAAUAUUAUGACGACAAAGCAGAACAUUGAAUGAUCCAGUUUCCCGAAUUAAGAAAACUGAAUCAGGUGCUUUCAAAUGGACAUCAAAACAUGCAAAGAUUAAUUGCCUGAUAUAUGGACUCUGUGAUAUGAUAUAAAUGCUCUAGAUUACUCCAAUUUCAAAGUUACAGAGGGCGAUCGCACUACAAUAUAUUAUCAGCAGACUCACAUACUAACACUGAUAAUAUCUAUGUUCAGAGUAGAGAUGUAGUAGACACAAACCACAAACCAAGAUCACUUCAAUCAGCUAAGUUUCAAGAUGAUAGCGGACUGAUAUAUGAACUCUGCUCUAAAGUAAUCAAAUUUCAAAAUUACAGGGGGGCAAUGAAACCACGGUAACCCAGACAAUCUCAUCAAGCUGUCCACAAAUAUAAUACAAAUAAAAAACCUCUAAAAAAUUCAUACUGCUCUAAAAUAAUCACAUUUCAAAAUCACAGAGAACCUUGACACUACAGUAUCCUAGAGGAUCACCUUAAGCUAUCCAUGAAGACAAUAUAGAUUAAAAAAACCUCUAAAUAGAAAUUCAACUGCUCUAUAAAAUAAUCAAAUUUCAAAUCAUAGAGAGCGAUGGCACUACAGUAUCCUAGAGGAUCACCUUAAGCUAUCCAUGAAGACAAUAUAGAUUAAAAAAACCUCUAAAUAGAAAUUCAACUGCUCUAUAAAAUAAUCAAAUUUCAAAAUCAUAGAGAGCGAUGGCACUACAGUAUCCUAGAAGAUAACGCUAAGCUAUCCACGAAGACAACACAUAUAAACAACCUAAAAGGGUUGUCUAUACAAUAUCCUAGAUGAUCAACUUAAGUUAUCCAUCCACAAAUACCAUAAAAUUCCUCAGAUUAAUUCUUAAAUAAUCAAAUUUCAAAAUCACAUAAAUCGUGGCACCACAGUACUCCGAAAGAUCACAUUAUCCUAUCUACGAAGAUAAAAAAAUUAAUUAAAAUUGCUAUUAAAUAGUCAAAUUUCAAAAUCAUAAAGUGCGUGAAACUACAGUAUCUUAGAUGAUGAUGUAAAAAUACACAAAGAGAAUAAAAAAAUACUCUUGAGACUUGCAUCUGAAGUACUGUUGAUGAGUUCACGGAGAAAGAUCUCCUUGUAGCUGUAGAAAAGUGUUGAUAAUAAGACUAAGAAGCUGAUUGAUCUCAGCCUGGAAAGCAAUGUCGUUGUGUCCGCCAUUUUUGGUAGAUCUUAAGAGUUGUUGCUACUAUGAUAAAGAAUCUCAGGCGAAGUGAAACACAGAGGGAUAAAAAGCUAGAGAGGGUUUAUGGGCAGUUUUAUGUAACUUUAUAUUGAGAACAACCUACUUGAAAUGCUU
rnacentral:lncRNA from 1 species